ACACGUGGCUAAUCUGCCCUUGGGAUAGGAAUACCCCCGGGAAACUGGGGCUAAUUCCCAAUAGGUGAAGAACUCUGGAAUGAGUCUCCACCAGAAAAGAGCUUACGUUAUGCUCGUAAGUUUCGCCCAAGGAUGAGGCCGCGACCGAUCAGGUUGUUGGCGAGGUAAUGGCUCACCAAGCCUUUUACCGGUGCGGGCCGUGGGAGCGGGAGCCCGGAGAUGGGUACUGAGACAAGGACCCAGGCCCUACGGGGCGCAGCAGUCGCGAAAACUUUGCAAUAAGCGCAAGCUUGACAGGGCUAUCCCGAGUGCCAUCCGCUGAGGAAGGCUUUUACCCAGUCUAGAACGCUGGGGGAAUAAGGAGAGGGCAAGUCUGGUGUCAGCCGCCGCGGUAAUACCAGCUCUCCGAGUGGUGUGGAUGUUUAUUGGGCCUAAAGCAUCCGUAGCUGGCUAAGUUAGUCCCCUGUUAAAUCCACCGAAUUAAUCGUUGGAUCGCGGGGGAUACUGCUUGGCUAGGGGACGAGAGAGGCAGACGGUAUUUUCGGGGUAGGGGUGAAAUCCUAUAAUCCCGGGAAGACCACCAGUGGCGAAGGCUGUCUGCUAGAACGCGCCCGACGGUGAGGGAUGAAAGCUGGGGGAGCGAACCGGAUUAGAUACCCGGGUAGUCCCAGCUGUAAACGAUGCAGACUAGGUGUUUGGACGGCCACGUGCCGUUCUAGUGCCGCAGGGAAGCUGUUAAGUCUGCCGCCUGGGGAGUACGAUCGCAAGAUUGAAACUUAAAGGAAUUGGCGGGGGAGCACCACAAGGGGUGAAGCUUGCGGUUUAAUUGGAUUCAACGCCGGG
rnacentral:rRNA from 1 species